rnacentral:rRNA from 1 species
CCUACGGGUGGCAGCAGUCGAGAAUCAUUCACAAUGGGGGAAACCCUGAUGGUGCGACGCCGCGUGGGGGAAUGAAGGUCUUCGGAUUGUAAACCCCUGUCAUGUGGGAGCAAAUUAAAAAGAUAGUACCACACGAGGAAGAGACGGCUAACUCUGUUCCAGCAGCCGCGGUAAUACAGAGGUCUCAAGCGUUGUUCGGAAUCACUGGGCGUAAAGCGUGCGUAGGCUGUUUCGUAAGACGUGUGUGAAAGGCGCGGGCUCAACCCGCGGACGGCACAUGAUACUGCGAGACUAGAGUAAUGGAGGGGGAACCGGAAUGCUCGGUGUAGCAGUGAAAUGCGUAGAUAGCGAGAGGAACACUCGUGGCGAAGGCGGGUUCCUGGACAGUAACUGACGCUGAGGCACGAAGGCCAGGGGAGCGAAAGGGAUUAGAUACCCCAGUAGUC